UACGGAGGAUCCAAGCGUUAUCCGGAAUCAUUGGGUUUAAAGGGUCCGUAGGCGGUUUGGUAAGUCAGUGGUGAAAGCCCAUCGCUCAACGGUGGAACGGCCAUUGAUACUGCCAGACUUGAAUUAUUGGGAAGUAACUAGAAUAUGUAGUGUAGCGGUGAAAUGCUUAGAGAUUACAUGGAAUACCAAUUGCGAAGGCAGGUUACUACUAAUGGAUUGACGCUGAUGGACGAAAGCGUGGGUAGCGAACAGG
rnacentral:rRNA from 1 species